rnacentral:rRNA from 1 species
UACGAAGGGGGCUAGCGUUGCUCGGAAUUACUGGGCGUAAAGCGCACGUAGGCGGCUUUUUAUGUCGGGGGUGAAAUCCUGGAGCUCAACUCCAGAACUGCCUCCGAAACUGAAAAGCUCGAGUUCGGGAGAGGUGAGUGGAACUGCGAGUGUAGAGGUGAAAUUCGUAGAUAUUCGCAAGAACACCAGUGGCGAAGGCGGCUCACUGGCCCGAUACUGACGCUGAGGUGCGAAAGCGUGGGGAGCAAACAGG